GGGCGUAUGGUCUAGUGGUAUGAUUUCUGUUUUGCAGUGCUUUAGUGUCCUUGCUUCUACAGACGGUCCCGCGUUCAAUCCGCGGUACGUCCA